rnacentral:rRNA from 1 species
UAGGGAAUCUUCGGCAAUGGGGGGAACCCUGACCGAGCAACGCCGCGUGAGUGAAGAAGGUUUUCGGAUCGUAAAGCUCUGUUGUAAGAGGAGAACGCGUGUGAGAGUGGAAAGUUCACACAGUGACGGUAUCUUACCAGAAAGGGACGGCUAACUACGUGCCAGCAGCCGCGGUAAUACGUAGGUCCCGAGCGUUGUCCGGAUUUAUUGGGCGUAAAGCGAGCGCAGGCGGUUAGAUAAGUCUGAAGUUAAAGGCAGUGGCUCAACCAUUGUAGGCUUUGGAAACUGUUUAACUUGAGUGCAGAAGGGGAGAGUGGAAUUCCAUGUGUAGCGGUGAAAUGCGUAGAUAUAUGGAGGAACACCGGUGGCGAAAGCGGCUCUCUGGUCUGUAACUGACGCUGAGGCUCGAAAGCGUGGGGAGCGAACAGGAUUAGAUACCCUGGUAGUCCACGCCGUAAACGAUGAGUGCUAGGUAUUAGGUCCUUUCCGGGACUUAGUGCCGCAGCUAACGCAUUAAGCACUCCGCCUGGGGAGUACGACCGCAAGGUUG